rnacentral:rRNA from 1 species
UACGGGGGGGGCAAGCGUUGUUCGGAAUUACUGGGCGUAAAGGGCUCGUAGGCGGCCAACUAAGUCAGACGUGAAAUCCCCAGGCUCAACCUGGGAACUGCGUCUGAUACUGGAUGGCUUGAAUUCGGGAGAGGGAUGCAGAAUUCCAGGUGUAGCGGUGAAAUGCGUAGAUAUCUGGAGGAAUACCGGUGGCGAAGGCGGCCCCCUGGACAAAGACUGACGCUCAGGUGCGAAAGCGUGGGGAGCAAACAGG